AUAUAUAUUGAUUUUGAUGUCAUUGUGUUGAAAUCACUCUCUUCUCUCAACAACACUGUUGGUCUGGAGAGUCAGCUUGAUCGACGGUCUAUCAAUGGUGCUGUAAUGGCAUUCAGAAGGCAUAGCCCCUUCAUAAUGGAGUGCUUGAGGGAGUUCUACUCGGUGUAUGAUGAUACAGUUCAGAUGGAAUGGGACCGAUCUUUUGACAAGAGUGGCAGAAAACUUUUCAAGAAGUGGGAAAAGAGAAGUUGAGCUGCUGGAGUUGAAAGUGCUACCCUUCUUCGUCUUCUUUCCUAUUAGUAGCCAAGAUAUUACGAGAUACUUCGUUACUCCUUCAACGGAAAUUGAACGUGGACAACAAGAUUCUCUUUUCAGAAAAAUUCUGGAUGAAUCCUCAACAUUUCAUUUUUGGAACAGCGUUACUUCUACUCUUGUUCCUGAGCCAGGAAGUCUUGUAACCAGGCUAAUUGACCACAGAUGUAUCCAUUGCUCUGACGUAUUGUGAAAUGCACCCAAUUUUUCCUCAAGUUGAUUGAAGACUUCAGCUAGCACCCUAAUUGGCUCGAAGCAAUCACUGGUCAAAUGCUGAGGAGAUUCAGGUUUAUUGCUCUGACAUGUGGCCCAGUUUUUGGUUAUGAGUAGGGGCCUUACGUAUUCGUCUUAAUGAUAAAGAAAAUUCCAUGAAGAAGGGGGUUUGACCACCUACGGGAACGGCUUCAGAAGAAAGCCGACCAUAUACGGAAUUAUGUUAGGUGGGCAUAUAUGUUGUUGUACAGCUAUUUUCUUUAUUAUCCGUGUUAAGAGUUUUUCCAUUUCUUUUCCUUAUCAGUGCUUGCACAAAUGAAUUAGUGGGAAAUUGGAAACGGUGGUUCACCCCUUUUUACAA